AAUCUGACUUUGGCACAAUUCUUGAUACUCAACUCUCAACUAACUUCCUUUAGAUUGUCAGGGGACACAUAGGUCCCCUCCAAGUUUUAGUGCAAGUUAGACCCGUUAUUUUGUGGCCUCUCCUAUCCCUCCUUCUCUUUUUGUAUCUCCUUCCUUCCCUCUUUUUCCCACCUUCGUGUCUUACUGAGUGCCCUCUCAAACUUCCUAAUUCAGGCUGCCUUCUUCUACUUGCAGGAGGACAACAGCUUUUCACUGAGCAAAGAACUGAUCACACUAAAGUCUCUGCUUCCACUGGCCUUGGGAGAGAGGACUGCAUCGUGGUGGAGGAGAACAGAUGUUAGCAGAUCUCAAGACAUCACAUUGAAGGUCUAUCAGAUAAAGAGAACAGUGGUUAAAUUGACUCCUUGAAAGAAGAGAAGAGGUAUAGAAAGGGGGAGAAGAGAAAAUGCAGAGAGGAGAUUUGGAAAAAAUGUAAGACUGGACAAGGCCUGGGGGAAGAGGGUGUUUUAUGUGUCAAAUCAAUACUGCAGAUAUAACUGCAAUUCUUGGGCCUUAAGAGGAUGGCAGUUUCCACUGGCUGACUUUCGGAGCGCUCUUUCUGGAGGCCCUGCAAUGACAGGCUUACCAACAUUUGAGUACUACCUUUGAAUGACAGCAGUUUGAUCAGAAGAUUUCCAUGUUAGGAGUUCCCGUCGAGGCUCAGUGGAAAUGAAUCUGACUAGCAUCCAUGAGGACACAGGUACAAGAUAAUGGACUCAAGCACGGAGAAAUAAACUGAUGGGAUGUUCUGAGCCUGACUAAGAAUGCCUUGGAAUUAUUGGCAAGUAGAUUCUUCAGUUAAAAUGUAAUCUUUUAAGGGAAAUUUACAAGAUAUCUAUGUUUGACAGUCACCUAACAUGGGGUUGGACUACAUUUGAUCAAACUCAUAUAGCAAACAGUAUUUCUUUGUGAAGUGUGAAUGCUAAAAAUAGAAGACAGUUAAGUUUUUCAUGUCUAAUUCCUGCUAAUCCAUGUCACAUACAGUCAGACUGAGACACAUAGGCCUAUGUGGAAGGUUAAAUUUUUAAAAAAUUCGUCUGGGGCAUGUUUACUAUCAUUCUUCUGUCUGAAUAAAAUAAUACAUUUUUAUUAUAAAGAAGGCAGAGCGUAAUUUUUAAAGAACAUCUUUUGAUGAGACAGCAUAAAAUGCUCUCAUCUUUCAGGGUAGUACUUGUGUAAUGAGAGUAUAUCUAUUUAUUAUGGUUUGUAUGAAAGAUUCAUAGAAAUUUUUGCUUUUUUCAUGUACUUACUUUUGUUCUAUAAAUGGCACCCUGAAAUACAGUGAUUAUUUUCCAAAUUUUAAUUUUCUUGUCAAAAAUGGCACUAUGUUUAGUAUAUGCAGCAGUGAGAGAGAAACUACUUAUUUUUGAAGAACUAAUAUUUUAAAAAAAACCUUGUGAAAGUUCUAUAAAAGUAGUGGAUUUUAUUUCAUGAAUCAAAUCCACUGUAGCUUUUCUGGUUUAGCUGAACUAAGAUUAACAUUUCAGAUAGAGAAAAAAAAUCUGCCUCCAUACCUUCAUUUUUAUUAAACUGGAGUUGACAAUAGAAUCCAUCCUACAGUUAAAAAAGACUGCCUUUAGUUUUAGUGGUACAAUGUUGGAUUUCAGUGUCAUUAUUAUUCUAGCUUUUAUUUACUAGUUAAGUCAAGAAAAAUUGCUACUGAAAAUUAGGCUUUUUAUUUGUUUUUUUAUAACAAGCUUUACACUAGUUGGAAAAAAAGCUCAUCUCUUUCCAUUUUUGCUUCAACAUGGAAUCAAGUAAGCAAUGAGGUGUCAUUGUAUUUCUUAUACAAUGCUGUCUUUAAAAUGUAGAAAUUUACUAUUUCAUUUAACAAUAUUAUCCGUUGGCAUUCUACUUUGAAAACAACUCAAAUUAUAUUUUUGGAAGAAAAAUUUAAAAUCCAUCUGUGACAAGACUGGCCAACUGAAAUUAUUAUGCUUGACCAGAUUAAUAACUAACUUUAGUGAACCUAUGGGUCCAGGUCAUUACUUACCAUUGUUUUUAGUAAAGUUCAACACAUUC